UGGUACACCAAGCGUGUGAGUCUAGCUGGCGUUUACAAAUCAACAGAGAUUUACAUGAUACAGGACAAAUCAGUUGAUCUACAGGACACAUGGGAGUUCCUUGACAACAGAAUUGAUAACUUAGUCUCAGUGGGAGAUUGUGCCACAAAGGCUAUGAAGGUGUCUGGUAUGACCUCGGAGGGCCUGACAGGCCUGUUUAAGAUGGGACAGAACAUCCUUGGCAUGAACUUCAAGUCUCGAUCCCGUUGAACUGAUCUGAUAUUCUAUAUUCCGUCUUUGCGUAUUGCAGAGUUAUCUUCUCUUGAGAACAGGUAUUGAUUGUUACGUCAUUGGUUCAU